AAACAACAUUAAGAGCGGCGCUUUUGCGCCCGGCAACCUGGGAGGACACCCAAGGUGCCUACUUGCUUAGCAAGGAUGCGGUUCCUAGGAACAACAAAGUGUCCGAGU
rnacentral:ncRNA from 2 species